GUGGGAAGCUGACCAAGGCCGAAAGGAGGGCUAAGCUAAAGAAACUUAAGAAAGAAGCAAAGAAACAGGGGAAGGAGAGUCCUCAACCACAAGCCGCUCAAGAUACCCCCCAAGCGGUGGUGCUGGCUGAGGUGAAAGAAGAGCUUACGGCAGAAGAGGCAUUCGAAA